rnacentral:rRNA from 1 species
CGUGUAGGCGGUCUAUCGAGUCAGGCGUGAAAGCCCCGGGCUUAACCUGGGAACUGCGUUUGAUACUGAUAGACUAGAGGUUGGAAGAGGAGAGUGGAAUUCCCAGUGUAGAGGUGAAAUUCGUAGAUAUUGGGAAGAACACCAGUGGCGAAGGCGGCUCUCUGGUCCAUACCUGACGCUGAGGCGCGAAAGAGUGGGGAGCAAACAGGAUUAGAUACCCUGGUAGUCC